UAGAGGCUGCGGAGACAGGAAUGGAUUCAAGCCUGCAGAGGCGGAAGGUGGGAGGGGGAACCCAGCUGCA
rnacentral:sRNA from 1 species